UUAAGUUCAGCGGGUAUCCCUACCUGAUCCGAGGUCAAACUGGUGGGUAUAGGCUUCAUGGACGCCUGCGUGGGAGACGUUGAGGCGCGUAUCUGCUGCGCUCAUAGCCAAUUACACAGGCCGCCAAAUGGUUUUAAGGCGAGUCCACGCACAAGGCGGGACAAACACCCAACACCAAGCAGUGCUUGAGGGUUUAGAUG
rnacentral:misc_RNA from 1 species